rnacentral:rRNA from 1 species
UACGUAGGGAGCAAGCGUUGUUCGGAAUCACUGGGCGUAAAGGGCGUGUAGGCGGUCAGGUAAGUGGGACGUGAAAUCCCUCGGCUCACCCGAGGACCUGCGUCCCAAACUGCUUGACUUGAGUAUGGGAGAGGAUGAGGGAAUUCCUGGUGUAGCGGUGAAAUGCGUAGAUAUCAGGAGGAACACCGGUGGCGAAGGCGCUCAUCUGGCCCAAUACUGACGCUGAGGCGCGAAAGCUAGGGGAGCAAACGGG